rnacentral:lncRNA from 1 species
UUCGAUCAGAUUCACUUGGUCGUAACGACUCUGAAUCCAUUCAGCAUCAGCCAACUUGGGACUUUGAGGGUGUUAUUUCUCUUUUGUUUUUUCUUUCUUUUUCUUUCUUUUGAUUUCUUUUGAUUUUGAUUUGAUUUUUUUUUAUUUUGCACCCUCUUCUUUUUUUGUGCUUGUUGUUUUUUUUUUUUGAUGCCCCAGUUGGCUGUUCUGCUGAUUCUCGAGAUGCAGCUGAGUGAUCUUCUUUUCUUGCUCAAGAAGUCGGGAAAUCUCGUCAGGAAUCCCUUCAACAUCAUCUUCUUCCGCUUCGAAUACAGGGAAUUCACAAUUGGGAGAUGACGUCCGAUCAUUAUGUUCAAUGGGUUUGAGAAACAACCUGCAUAAAGAUUUUGAGUAUAAAAAGUACUUUGAAAAUCAAACAGGACAAU